rnacentral:lncRNA from 1 species
AGUAGACCGGACACAGCUGAGGAGAGACUCUGUGCUUGACGCUCUCUCGGUAGAAACUUCCAAAACCUUAUCUGUAGAAGAACAAAGAUAAGAAUUACAUCUGCCUUCUCAGAAACCAUGCAAGCAAGAAGAGGAGUAAAAUAUUGAAAGUGUUGAGAGAAAAUAACCAUCAACCUUGGAUUCUGUAACCUGAGAAAUCAUCCUUCAAAAGUGAAUGAGAAAUUACGACUUUCUCAGACAAAACAAUUAAGGGAAUUAGCUGCCAGUAGAUCUACCUUGCAAGAAAUGUUGAAAGAAGUUCUUUACAGAGAAGGAAUGUAAUAUAGGGCAUAAACUUGGAUCUACAUAAAAAAGGGAAGAAAAUUGAAGAAGGAAUAAAUGAAGUUUGGCACCAUAACUCGGAUUAGACUAGAAGCCCACCUCCAGACUCCACCCUCUCCACCCACGUGCUGAGGUCUCUUGAGCCUGUUGUGUUCCUUCCCUGACUGGCAAUUCAGGGAUCCCACAUUAAGUGCUGCCUCUUGGUCUUUGCCACUCCGGGAAUCCCAUCGUCUUAACUGAAAUCAGGAGCUCAUCUCAAUUUCUGCACCCCCCAGUGUCAUAUCUGGCUAACUAAAGAGAGGAACCACAAAAAUUUUCAAGGAUGAGGAUGCUACCCUUGGAAAUGUAUUUAUCAAUGCAUAGUGGAAGGAACGUCUUCUGGGUCAGUUUGGCAUUUUAGAAUACCACUGACAUUUGCAGGGCAUGUUUUUGAAUUUGAAUGAAUGGACAAAAGGAGAUUUGCUAGCUGUUCUUCCAGAAAAGAAAUUUAUAGCAUAAUGAAUCUAAUGAACGUUGGAACUAAAAAGGAACUCUGAGGUGGUUGACCUCCAU